rnacentral:rRNA from 1 species
CCUACGGGUGGCAGCAGUAGGGAAUAUUGCUCAAUGGGGGAAACCCUGAAGCAGCAACGCCGCGUGGAGGAUGACGGUUUUCGGAUUGUAAACUCCUUUUGUUAGAGAAGAUAAUGACGGUAUCUAACGAAUAAGCACCGGCUAACUCCGUGCCAGCAGCCCGGGUAAUACGGAGGGUGCCAGCGUUACUCGGAAUCAAUGGGCGUAAAGGGCGCGGAGGCGGGAUAGCAAGUCAGAUGUGAAAUCCUAUGGCUUAACCAUAGAACUGCAGUUGAAACUGUUAUUCUAGAGUAUGGGAGAGGUAGGUGGAAUGCGUGGUGUAGGGGUAAAAUCCGUAGAGAUCAAGAGGAAUACUCAUUGCGAAGGCGACCUGCUAGAGCAUAACUGACGCUGAUGCGCGAAAGCGUGGGGAGCAAACAGGAUUAGAUACCCCAGUAGUC